CACUGGUGAAAAGUCAUGAAAUUUGGCAGGACGACCGGGCCUGGUGAAAAAUUCGAUAUUCUGAAGUCGCCCAAAAAAUCAAAUGCAAAAUGGCUCCAUAGCGCCCCCUAAGGUGAAAAAUUCACAUGAUUGAGUGUCACGCCUGUACGCUUUGUCAAAAUGACACAAAAUUUGACACACACGUGUAUCUCAAUAAGAUCUACAAAAAAGUCAGUGCGGCCGUAUCUGUCAAAUGUACGGUUAAAGGGCUAUUUCGCAUUUUUUGCCGAUCCGCACACAUUGGAAUUUCGCUAACUCCUCCGAAGGCUUUCGUUCCACCGGCACCAAAUUUGCUCAGGCCAAUCUACACCCCAUGGCCAUUAAAAGUUGUACAAAUCAUGACGCUGCAUCCCACGGUUUACGUUCUAGGGGGCGCCAAAGAUAACCCAGAAAUCCACAUUCUUAAAAGUCGUAUAACUUUUUAUUUUUGUCCUCACUGGCCUCCAAGUUUUCUAGGAUGAUGCAAUGUCCAGCCAUCAACACAUUUGUGAAGGAAUUUUUACUCCCCAAAAGAGCGCCCCCCCAUGGCAGGAGAAAAAAGUCCAUUUUUUCUUGUCUCCUAAGGCGAAAAUUCACACUAUUGACUGUCACGCCUUUACGCUUUGUCAUAUUGACACAAAAAUUGACACACACAUGUAUCUCAAUAAGAUCUACAAAAAAGUCAGUGCGGGCGUAUCUGUCAAAUGUACGGUGAAAGGGCUAUUUCGCAUUUUUUGCCGAUCCGCACACAUUGGAAUUUCGCUAACUCCUCUGAAGGCUUUCGUUCCAAAGGCACCACAUUUGCUGAGGCCAAUCUACACCCCAUGGCCAUUAAAAGUUGUACAAAUCAUGAUGCUGCACCCCACGGUUUACGUUCUAGGGGGCGCCAAAGAUAACCCAAAAAUCCACAGUCUUAAAAGUCUUAUAACUUUUUAUUUUUGUCCUCACUGGCCUCCAAGUUCUCUAGGAUGAUGCAAUGUCCAGCCAUCAACACAUUUGUGAAGGAAUUUUUACUCGCCAAAAGAGCGCCCCCCCAUGGCAGGAGAAAAAAGUCCAUUUUUUCUUGUCUCCUAAGGCGAAAAUACACAUUGUUGACUGUCACGCCUUUACGCUUUGUCAAAAUGACACAAAAUUUGACACACACAUGUAUCUCAAUAAGAUCUACAAAAAAGUCAGUGCGGGCGUAUCUGUCAAAUGUACGGUUAAAGGGUUAUUUCGCAUUUUUUGCCGAUCCGCACACAUUGGAAUUUCGCUAACUCCUCCUAAAUCUUUUGUCCCAUCGGCUUCAAAUUUGCUCAGGUCAAUCUACACCCCAUGGCCAUUAAAAGUUAUUCAAAUCAUGACGCUGCACCCCACGGUUUAGGUUCUAGGGGGCGCCAAAGAUAACCCUAAAAUCCACAUAUUUAAAAGUCUUAUAACUUUUUAUUUUUGUCCUCACUGGCCUCCAAGUUUUCUAGGAUGAUGCAAUGUCCAGCCAUCAACACAUUUGUGAAGGAAUUUUUACUCCCCAAAAGAGCGCCCCCCCAUGGCAGGAGAAAAAAGUCCAUUUUUUCUUGUCCCCUAAGGUGAAAAUACAUAUUGUUGAGAUUCACGCCUAUACGCUUUGUCAUAUUGACACAAAAUUUGACAAUCACGUGCCUUGCCUGGUAUCAUUUUUUUCAGCACAACCUCACCUGUGCGAAUUUACAGUUAUUUUAUCAUGUUGACAUACUGAAUUUACACAAUGGACCCAAAUUCACACACAAAACAUAAAAUCCGAGUGGAAAAAAGUAACAUUUUUACUGUGAAAACCACAAAUAUGUGUGAUGAACUGUUUUUAAAACUUAAACUUCAAAUAAAAAUUGUAAACUUCAAAACAUAUGCAAAUUUUUAACAAAGAACAUAGUGAUUUACCUCUAUUUACAUCAAAAUGCAGGCAAUGGCCCAGGCGUUCUUUGUAAAAUUAUUUACAAAACACUGUAUAGUCUCACAAAUGUCACUUUUUAUUUAUGCCACUACAAAAAAACAUGAUGUAAAUGAUGCAUGAUGUAAAACAUGAUGUAAAAAACUUGUGUAGAUCCUCCUCUAUGUCAGUCCAUGUGUAAUUUUUCCAUAAUUCUUUGUUUUUUGCAGCAUUUUUGUUAGUGUAACUGCAGAUUGUGCUGACAGUGUCUAUGGCACAAAAAAAAAAAAAUUUUUAAAUGCCUCAACAUGAACCCCUGGUGGUCUCUGAGGGUGAAACCUGCUAACUGCUGCAGCUCUGUCAGCUUCAGUCUCCCAUGCAGAGCUCUGAGCGCAUGUGUGGCUCUGCACCCUUAGCAGCGUUGCUAACUCCUCAGUAAGGAAAGCCUGCUUCAUGUCAGAGUCUCUAAACUCCAGAAGAAGUCGAUAAAAGUCCCUUUCUUUCUAAAAAAAGUCGUUAGGGGGUCUGAAAAGUCAUUGAAUCUAACAACAAAGUCGCUAGGUUUGCAACUACGUGUCCCAGACUGCAUCCCUGCUGAGAGUCCCUCCCUCCCUUCUCAUGUUGCAGGAAGAACGUAAGCGCCCGCCCCUUCUCAAUCAGUCACCAUAUAAUUUUGGAUUGGUUGUUGUGGUGAAGUUUUCCACCAAUAGGAGAGAUGUUGUGGUGUGUUUUUUUUUUCUUUUGGCAAGCCUUUUCCGCCUGUAAAACCUGUCGCUAAUGUCUGCAUGCUAUGUUUUCCUGUCUCAUACAGCGCGAUCGAGCGCCGACGUGAUCAAAAUAAGCAGAAAAAAAGUAUCGCGGACAUAAUUUAUUAUAACUCUGGUUUUAUUUGGCCUAUCAACACAAUUUAAAAACUGGUAUAUAGGUUGAGGUCCUCACUUUUGAGAUAGGUUGAAACGGAGAGUCAACGAGGCUCCGUCUUGCAGCUACAUCCGGUUAAAUAUGUCAUGUGACUUGAACGCACACACAGACACACACACACACACACACACACACACACACACACACACACACACACACACACACACACACACACUCAGAGUCUGGUUUUUAGCACCUGCAAAAACAUGCUAUUUACAUAUUUGACAAGAAUGCAGAGGCUCCUUUUGCCCCUGAAAAAAAUCAAAUUUCAAACACAACUUGACUGGUCAUUUCUCCAAAAGACAACCAUGAAGCUCCAUCCAAACCUGAAGCAGGCAGUUGGUGCAUGUGUACAGUAACCUGAGGGGAGUGAGGUGAGUGCUUCUGAGGAGAACAUGAGCAGUGAAGAUUCACCUUGGAGCUAGAACAGAGACAUGCACAUGAUUAUACAGGGGCAGGGGCUCAAGUUUUUUCCAGUUGUUUAUACAAUAUGGAAAUUAAUGUGAAAUUAAAACACAAAGUAUUAAUAGAAAGGUAAUGACUGUCCUGUGUAGGUGACAGUGAUAUCCAAUAGGCUAGGCACUCACGAGGCUGGCUGUGGCAAGUGUAAGUGAAAGCAACACGCACUGGCAGGAAGAACAGCAAACGCCGAUGAAGGAAAAGGGUCUUUGCAGUGAUGGGCGUUACCAGAGAGGGCGAUGGCCAGAGGACACAAAUGGGACGGGAAGGCAGCACGUUGGGGGGGGGGGGACGCGACACGGCUCGGGCCCGCCAGUGCCCCAACGGGGUCCUAGUUAUUUUUCUGCCCCUUUGAACUGGAAAAUGGCCCACUUCCCACUGGUGAAAACUCAUGAAAUUUGGCAGGACGACCGGGCCUGGUGAAAAAUUCGAUAUUCUGAAGUCGGCCAAACAAUCAAAUGCAAAAUGGCUCCAUAGCGCCCCCUAAGGUGAAAAAUUCACAUGAUUGAGUGUCACGGCUGUACGCUUUGUCAAAAUGACACAAAAUUUGACACACACGUGUAUCUCAAUAAGAUCUACAAAAAAG
rnacentral:lncRNA from 1 species